UAAUUCCAAGUUUAUCCGGUUAUCACCUAAUGCUGGCGCAUCACAAAUUUUACAAAGAGAGAGAACAUGGGGGGAAGGCCGAGUGGCGGUGCCAGAAGAGAAGGCGACUGAAGUGCAAAGCCAAUAUCGUCACCAUCGAGGGAGUUAUUGUCAAAGUCGACGACGCUCAUAACCAUAAGCAGUGUUUGGCUGCACAAGCCAUGGUCACCGAGUUAUGUACUACGCAUAUCAUAAAUUUCAUGCAGACCAUUACCAGAGCAUGGCGGGAGUCAAGUCUACAUGGAGAUGCCACAUGAGGAGGACGAAGGGCUGUCGAUCUUCUGUAAUCACCCUGAAUGACGUCGUCAUUCAAUAUAAUGAUAAUCAUACUCAUUAGCUAUGACUUGCAAAGUGCUCUUUCUAAAAGCACAAUUUUCAUGUUCAUUUUUAUAAAUCAUAAUAUUUAUUGAUAUGGUAUGAUGAAAAGAAUGAACUAAUAUGAUAUAUUCAUUUAUAUGUGUGUAAGAAGACAAAACUUAAAAACAAACUUAUAUUUACAUUGUAUAUUUACCUUCAUGUAUGUACUUUUAAUAAGUUCUUUGUACAGUAAAGAUAUUACAAAUAAACAAAAAAAGAUUAGAAGAAAGUGGAUAUUUCUUAUUCAGAAUAUUCAGAAUAUAGAAAUACAUUCUCUGCUCACAUACGAAUUGUUUAUAUAAAUUUUUCAGUUGUUUAUUCUGUAACAGCCAUUUGUUUUCAUACUGGUCUGGGAGAUAAAGAAAAAUAAGAACGUACCAGGUACAUAUAAAUAAAUUGAAGGUCUAUUAACAGGAAAUUCUUCUCAUAGGCGAUGGGCUAGCAGCAAUCUGUUAGCCGUCGCCAAUGAGAAGAACGCUGCUGAGUCGACACAUUGAAUUGAUAUUUGCUGUUGCAAUGACAGUUAAAUUGUUAAAUAUUUCAGAAUAUCAAUUUCACCUUCGAGUUUUGCUACUUUUAGCUCUGUCUGCAUCGUAAACAAUAAUGACAUGAUAAUGUGUCUAGUCUAGUAAGUCAUUUUAGCACCUCAAACUAUAAGUAGGAUACUAGGUAUAUUAGCACAUUCAAUAGAUUUAUUAGCGCAUGAUCUAAUUAAGUUUUUUUCAACAGUAAUGUUCGUCUAUAGCAACAAAGGUAACAGAGUAUUAAUCGCCAAUGGGCAGCGAUAUAACAAAGUGUGGGAAAAAAACAAUAUGACCAAAUGGCGGUGUGUCAAGAGGAACUCCGGUUGUAGGUCCGUGGCUUUGACUUACGAGGACAACAGGGCUGUCAGCCUCACUGUCCAUAACCACGAUAUGCCAGCACCAUCGACUUCGAUGCGUGGUUACCCUAUGCCUUAAAGCUAGGGUUGCAGUGGGUGUACGGGCAAUAAAAAUUACCCGUCGAAAUAUGUAUAUGAUGCAGUCAAAACUCUAAUCUGGUCAAAACCACUUUUAACUAACGUAAUUAGUCAAAACUACUUUUGAAGUAGUUUUGACUAAUUUUUAUACGGACAUACGGUUUUGACUGAUUGUGUUAGUCAAAACUCUUAGAAAGUUAAUAGAGAACGCGAAUUUUUGCUGUAUAUGUUUCAGUUUCAAAAUAAAAAUGGUGUGGUUGAACAAGCGAUGAGUGGUAAUUUUUUUUGCGUAAGAAUCUAAUAUCUGAAAACUCUCAAUGAUAAGUGAACAAAACAAAUAGCUAAAGAAGCCGCUACAUCAGAAAAUUACCGUAAAAAUUGACAGACAUUAAUGUUAUAUGUAGUUUAUAGUUAUUUCAAUUGUGUCAUAGUUGGAAUUCAGUGCUAUCAAGACAUUUAUAUAUUAAUAGAUGUCGAACGAGGGUAUAGAAAACAAUGUAAACUAAAUAAAUGAUAAACAAAUAAAGAACGAUGUUUUAAACUGGAAUGUGGAAUUCAUUGAUAUUAACGGGGAAAAUAAUUCUGUGGUAGGCUGUUUUCCUCUCGGCGAUAUUAAA